GUCGGUUAGGUGUAGAAGGGUUGCACGUUAAUUUUUCGUGUUAGAGGGAGUUUAAAAAAUUAUCCGAUG
rnacentral:tRNA from 2 species